rnacentral:rRNA from 1 species
AACGAACGCUGGCGGCAUGCCUAACACAUGCCAGUCGAACGAGACCUUCGGGUCUAGUGGCGCACGGGUGCGUAACGCGUGGGAACCUGCCCUUAGGUUCGGAAUAACUCCCCGAAAGGGGUGCUAAUACCGGAUAAUGUCUUCGGACCAAAGAUUCAUCGUCUUUGGAUGGGCCCGCGUUGGAUUAGCUGGUUGGUAGGGAAAAAGCCUACCAAGGCGACGAUCCAUAGCUGGUCUGAGAGCAUGGUCAGCCACACUGGGACUGGGACACGGCCCAGACUCCUACGGGAGGCAGCAGUGGGGAAUAUUGGAAAAUGGGCGAAAGCCUGAUCCAGCAAUGCCGCGUGAGUGAUGAAGGCCUUAGGGUUGUAAAGCUCUUUUACCCGGGAUGAUAAUGACAGUACCGGGAGAAUAAGCUCCGGCUAACUCCGUG